CGCAUCUGUGCAUGCAGCAUAUCAAUAAGCGGAGGAAAAGAAACUAACAAGGAUUCCCUUAGUAACGGCGAGUGAAGCGGGAAGAGCUCAAAUUUGAAAUCUUCAAGGUUUUACCUUGACGAAUUGUAGUUUAAAGAAGUGUUUUCUGUUGAAGUUUUGGUAAAAGUUCUUUGGAAUAGGACAUCAUAGAGGGUGAGAAUCCCGUAUUUGACCAUUAUUUUCAGCUGUGUGAUACACUUUCAAAGAGUCGGAUUGUUUGGGAAUGCAGUCCCAAAAUGGGUGGUAAAUUUCAUCUAAAGCUAAAUAUUGGCGAGAGACCGAUAGCGAACAAGUACCGUGAGGGAAAGAUGAAAAGAACUUUGAAAAGAGAGUUAAACAGUACGUGAAAUUGUCAAAAGGGAAGCGUUUGACACCAGUGUUGUUUUCUCGAAAAUCAAUUAAAAAAGAGUUAGAUUUUGUUGUGUAUUGACCUUAACAGCUUGCAUUUCAAUUUUCUUGCUUUUUUUAAUGCACUUUUCGUUUAACAAGUCAACAUCAGUUUCUUUUGUUGUAAAAAGGUCAUUGGAAGGUGGCUUUCUUUUCGGAGAAAGUGUUUAUAGCCUUUGACUCCUGCAAUCGGAGAGACUGAGGUCUGCAGCGUAGAUCCUUCGGGGUUAGAUACAUUUGUGCUAAGUUAUAGCUUUUUAUAGACAACUUGUUGACUAUGAUUAGUCUUGUAGCUUACUCGCUUAUGCUAUUUUACCUACGCUUAGGAUGUUGACGCGCGUGUGUGCGUG
rnacentral:rRNA from 1 species